GGCCAUAGCUUUGCGACAGAGCAUCAGCUUUGCAUGCAGAAGGUCCUUGGUUCAAAUCCUGGCAUCUCCA